rnacentral:rRNA from 1 species
AUUGAACGCUGGCGGCAUGCUUUACACAUGCAAGUCGAACGGUAACAGGCCGCAAGGUGCUGACGAGUGGCGAACGGGUGAGUAAUGCAUCGGAACGUGCCCAGUCGUGGGGGAUAACGCAGCGAAAGCUGCGCUAAUACCGCAUACGAUCUAUGGAUGAAAGCGGGGGACCGUAAGGCCUCGCGCGAUUGGAGCGGCCGAUGUCAGAUUAGGUAGUUGGUGGGGUAAAGGCUCACCAAGCCAACGAUCUGUAGCUGGUCUGAGAGGACGACCAGCCACACUGGGACUGAGACACGGCCCAGACUCCGACGGGAGGCAGCAGUGGGGAAUUUUGGACAAUGGGCGCAAGCCUGAUCCAGCAAUGCCGCGUGCAGGAAGAAGGCCUUCGGGUUGUAAACUGCUUUUGUACGGAACGAAACGGUCCUGGUUAAUACCUGGGGCUAAUGACGGUACCGUAAGAAUAAGCACCGGCUAACUACAUGCCAGCCGCCGCCGUAA